rnacentral:lncRNA from 1 species
UUAUAUGUAAGUAAGUACACUGUAGCUGUCUUCAGACACUUUUUCUUCUCACUCUGGCCCUGCUCGCAUGCUGUAGCUGUCGUCAGACACCCCAGAAGAGGACAUCAGAUCUCAUUACGGAUGGUUGUGAGCCAUCAUGUGGUUGCUGGGAUUUGAACUCAUGACCUUCAGAAGAGCAGUCAGCGUUCUUAACCACUGAGCCAUCUUCUCCAGUCCCCACAAUUUGGUUUGUUACAGUGUUGGAGUCAUGGGGCGUUCUGGCAUCUUCUCAGAGACCCAUAAAGGCAUCCUCUUCUAUACUCCGCUUCAGUCUGCAACUUCCUCAUCUCCUUGUCCAGCCUCCUUUGUCUCUCUCCUGACUUAUGGCUCCAAACAUGGCCUCCUGCCUCCCCAUGGUUCUCAAAUCAAUUUUGCCCCAUAGGGCAAAAUUUGUUGCUGUCAUAACUGAGAGAGUGCUGCUGUCGCUAGUCAGGACAGGACAGGGAUGCUAAUGAACUCCAACAGGGCAUGUGACAGGCCCCCUCCCUAGUAAGGAAUUACCAGCCCCAAACACCAAUGGUGCUCAUGUAGAGCUUCUAGGCUCCUCUUUCCCACUCACAGAGGCCCAGUUCAGCAGGCAAAACAAUUUUUAUUUUCUAAAACAUAAAUCUUUUACUUUCUGAAGUUUCUUUUCUUGCCUUGGACUUUUAUUGCAUUCUCAUUGCCUGAGGAGUGAAAAAUCUGAAUCCAUACACAGGAGCACAAAACCUCCAUUGCUUAGUUCUGUCUCUUUCUCUGCCUGUCUUUCUGUCUCUCUGUCUCUGUCUCUCUCUCUCUCUCAUUCCCUUCCCACUCAUCCUUUAGAGGCAUACCAAGUCAUUGCUUACUGGUUGGACUUAGCAGAAGGUAUUUUCCAAAUCAGGGCCAAUUUCUCAUCCUACUUUGUGUGGUAGUUUGAAUGAGAAUGGCUCCCAUAGGCUCAAGUUUUUUUUUUUUAAUUAAUUUAUUUUUAUGUAUAUAAGUAAAUGUAGCUGUCUUUAGACACACAUCAGAAGAGGGCAUCGGAUCCCAUUACAGAUGGUUGUGAGCCACCAUGUGGUCGCUGGGAAUUGAACUCAGGACCUCUGGAAGAACAGUCAGUGCUCUUAACUGAUGAGCCAUCUCUCCAGUCCAAAAUAUUUAUUUUUAUAUAUGCAAAUACACUAUAGCUUUCUUCUUCAGACAUCCAAAAGAGGGCAUUGGAUCCCAUUACAGAUGGUUGUGAGCCACCAUGUGGUUGCUGGGAAUUUAACUUAAGACCUCUGGAAGAACAGUCAAUGCUCUUUCUCUAUUUCUCUAGCCCCAUCAAGUGUUUUAAUACCUGGUCCCCGCUGGGUAGUCAUGGUACACACCUUUAAUUCCAGCACUUGGGAAGCAGAGACAGGUGGAUUUCUGAGUUUGAGGCCAGCCUGGUCUACAGAGUGAGUUCCAGGACAGCCAGGGCUACACAGAGAAAUCCUGUCUUGAAAAAACAAAAACAAAAAAAUUCUGGUCCCAAGUUGGUAGAACUAUUUGGGAAGGAUUAGGGGGUGUGGCCUCAUUAGAGGAGGCGUGGCCUUAUAAGAGGAGGUGUGGCCUUGUUAAAGGAGGUAUGUCACUAUGGGUGAUCUUUUGAGUCUUCAAAAGGCUCACACCAUUCCCUCUCAGUCUUUGACUUGUGGAUUCAGAUGUGAGCUCUCAGCUGUUCCUGCUGCCAUGCUUAUGUUCCUCCAUUAUGGACUCUAACCCUUUGCAACCAUAAGCUCAAUUAAAUGAUUCCUUUUAGAUGUUGUCUUGAUUAUGGUGUUUUGUCACAGAACUAUAACCGUAAUGAAGACACCUUGUCACUUGUGUGCCAGUGCCAUUCAAUUUCAGCUUAUGGAAAUCAGCCUGCUUGUGCCAGUUACAUUUAACUAUCAUUUUGGAACAAUCCCCAUUCACCAGAGAAGAGAGUCUCAAUUAAGGGAUUUCCCAGAUCAGACUGGCCCGUGAGAAGGUCUGUGUGGUACCGUCAUGAUUGUUGAUUGAUCUCAGAAGGACCCAGCCUGUUGUCGUAGAUGGCACCGGUUCAUGGGCAGGGCCCUGAACUGUGUGUUGAGGAAGGCUUGCUGAAAGCAGGCAAGCAGGCAGGUGGGGUGGGAGAGGAACAGUAGUCUUUCUCUGAUCUUGACUGUGAAUAUGAUGUGAAUGGCUGACUUGACUUCCUGCCUUGACUUUGCUCAAAGAUGGACUGUGACCCGAAACUGUAAGAUAACAAACCCUUGGUCUCCUUAGUUGCUUUUUGGUGGGGAUUUUAGCACAGUCCCAGAGAGGAGAUGGAUACUUCCCUGUCAUGGCAGCAUAUUAACAGGAUUCUUAGUCUUUUUGACCUCAAUUGCUUGACUGGUCACUCAGUUAUGACUCUCAGGCCCCAGAGGGCAGGAUUCUGUGUGCAUGUCCUGUUCUCACAGGUCCUGUGAGGUACAUAGAGGCUCUUCAUAAAUACUGUUGAUAAGUGGCACUUAGACCAGCUUGUUUAUAUAAAUGCAUAGUUCUCUUAAGACCUCAAUCAAGGUAGGCUGUGCUGUGAAUGAGAAAUGUCCCCUAGAAGCUCUGGUAUUUGAACAUUUGAUACCCAGUUGGUGACUUUGUUUUGAGGAGGCUGUGGGACCCUUGAGAGAGAGAGUGUUGCUGGAGGAAGUACAUUUCUUGGGGGUGGGCUUUGAGUGUUUAUAGUCUUGCCUCAUGUUCUGUUCACUGUAGAGAGAAUAUCUUGAGUAAUGUUUGGAUGUAUCACUUGUCAAUUAAAAAAAAAAACUAUGGCCUAUAAGAAAAGGUAGCAUAGAAGGCGGGGCAUCCAGUAGGCAGACUGAAUUCUGGGAUAGAGAGAAGGUGGGGUUGGGAGUCUUUGCACAGGGACAGAGAGGAGGGGGAGGAUUGAGAGCUGAGUGGAGUUAACCAGCCAUAUGGCAGAACUUAGAUGAGAACAAAUGGGAUAUUAGUUGUGAUCUAAUUGGGGAACCAAAUUAUGACAACCGAGGCUUAUGGCCAAGGUGUUUGUAAAUAUAUUCUGAGUCACAGAGUUGAUAUUCAGGGAGCUUGGAGCCAGGAUGAAAAAGUUCAGAUUUUACAGUUCCCUUCCUCUCUCACACUGGUGUUUGAAGAUGUGAGUUCUCGGCUUCCUGUACCUGCCACCAUGAUGUCUCACCCUCUGGAACCAUAAGCCAAAAUCAGCCCCUUCUAUAAAUCGCCUUGGUCCUGGCGUUUUAUCAUAGCAAUAGGAAGACAUAAGUAGACAUUGUUAACAUUCCUUCUGCUGCUCCAUUCUAAGGUAAAAUAUGUGAUUUUCAGUGCCAUCUUGUUUGGGAGCAGUCUUAUGACUGUCUACCAUCCUGGUUGUGGGCAG